GGCGAACCGUGCGAACGUUGUUCGGAAUCACUGGGCUUAAAGGGCGCGUAGGCGGGCUGUCAAGUCCGGGGUGAAAUCCUCCAGCUUAACUGGAGAACGGCCUCGGAUACUGACGAUCUCGAGGGGGAUAGGGGCACGCGGAACUGUGGGUGGAGCGGUGAAAUGCGUUGAUAUCCAUAGGAACUCCGGUGGCGAAGGCGGCGUGCUGGAUCCCUUCUGACGCUGAGGCGCGAAAGCCAGGGGAGCAAACGGG
rnacentral:rRNA from 1 species